CGGUGGAUUAUGUGGUUUAAUUCGACGCAACGCGCAGAACCUUACCUANGCUUGACAUCCCACGACAACCGUAGAAAUAGCUUUAUCGUGAACAGGUGUGACGAGCGCAACCCCUGGAUUUAGUUGCCAGCGGGAUGUCAAGUCUCAUGGCCCUUACGCCUAGGCUACAUACAUGGAUAGGACAAGGGUUGCGAACCUGCGAGGGGGAGCUUCUCAAAAACCUAUCCUCAGUUCGGAUUGGAGUGCAAUUCGCCUCCAUGAAGGCGGAAUCGCUAGUAAUCGGGAUCAGAACGCCACGGUGAAUACGUUCCCGGGCCUUGUACACACCGCCGUCACACCAUGGGAGUUGACUCAACCAGAAGUCGCUGUCGCCAACCGCAAGGGGGCAGGCGCCGAAGUGGGGUUAAUGACUGGGGUGAAGUCGUACAAGGU
rnacentral:rRNA from 1 species